rnacentral:lncRNA from 1 species
AUUGUCACAUCACAUAUAUAUUACCCAAGAAUCUAUUCCAUCAUCGAUAAGAGAUAUCUAAUAGCCCCUCUCGAGAUGUGGGUUUAAACGGUCCAACACAGAAACUGUACAAACCCAACAUCUCGAAAUACAACAAGACAUGGCACUUAUAUGGGACCACACAGAUGGAAAAACCAUUUUUGUGGGAAUUUUCUUGUUGGGCUAUGAUACCAUAUUAGUAAUGUGGCAUAACUAAAAUCCCAAAAGUGAACUUAAAGAAGAGGGAUUAUCACAUCAUAUAUUUAUUAUCCAAGAAUCUUUCCCAUUAUCGAUGUGGGAUAUCUAAUACUUCUCCUUUAAGCUAACUCAAAGGAAAAAGAUUGUCACAUCAAAUAUAUAUUAUCUAAGAAUAUAUCCCAUCAUCGAUGUGGGAUAUCUAAUAGUGUUAAAAUUAGGUAAAGGCUCUUGCAGCAAUUCUGAUCGGCGGUAGAAACAUGGCUAACAUAGAAUUGGCAUGCAUGGUGCACCGAAGAACUCUCUGUAAAACAUAUCUAAAUACAGAAUUCAACUGUAAUUAAUUAAGACAUAAGUGUUCUCUUGUAACCACUAUAUAUAUAUUGUAAAAAGAGAAUCAUUCACCACAUUCUAUAUAGUGUCAGAGCUCCUUCUAUUCCCUUUUCUUGGUGAUGAACCAAUGUUUAUUUAAUUUCAAGGGUUGGUAUGUGCAUAAAAGUCCACAUUUUGAGUAUGUGUAUGUGGUAGAUUUAUUUUAAACUGUAUCAUUAAACGUAUAUAGUAUUACCAUAGGGCUAGUCUAAAAACUCUAUAAAACUACUUAUAAAUUCUAUAUUUCCAUUAUUUUUUACAUUUUUUAAAUAUUCAAAUCUCACCUUCUCACAGCUGAUUCACUUUGUAGAAAUAGCCUCAAAAGUAUUCCUCUCUUUUCUUUAUAACUAGCUAGGAAGAAACCGAAGGUAUGCGAAGGUAAUUAAGCACAAUUAAACCAAUCCAAUCGUAUCCAUGAUAAUAAUUCGUAUUAGUAUCUAAUGCGUCCAUAUAUAUUGUUUUAGACUUUUAGUCUUCUUUUUUUUUUGAAUCAAAACUUUUAGUCUUUUAAACGUAUUUUUGUGUGUGUUUGUGCUAAGUUGCAAGCUAACGAGAAUUUGUGAC